CAGGCUCCAGGUUGGGGUCCCUUCUCUGCCCCUACUUGGCUCCAUCAGGCCCACUGACCAGAGCUUUGCACAGUCUGGGCCCAGAGACCCCAGGGGUGACAGGAGAGGGAGGGACUGCCAUGUGGCGCCUCUAAUUUGUUAGCCUUUAGGACUGAAGACCUUGCCUCUUCCCUGCCAUGUUUGUGGGCUCUUUGUCUCCACACUCACCCCUGGGCCCUUUUAACCGUCCCUCAGUCCUGACACCAGAGACCCCUUGUCACACACACCACUUAUGGUGCCCUCUCCUGCUCCAGAUCUCAGUGGCUCCCGUGUAAGAGCCCAGUGAAUGUUAACGGUCCUACGCUGUGCACCCAGGCUCUCACAAGGCCUGAAACUAUGGAGGAUGCAAAACAGACCUGACACUUCUCUAGACCAGGAAGCCAGGUGCCAGGUACCGCACAGUCCAGCUGGAGACAUGGUGCAGGAAGUAGCUGUGAUGACGGGGUGCACACUCCAGCCCGAGGGGUCAGGGAGGCGAUGUGAAUUCCCUGCGAGAUUUCCUGUGUGCCAAUCAUGUUGUCUGUAAAUAGAGACAAUUUAAUUCUUUCCAAUCUGUA